CUCUUCCGCCCUGACUUAGCACCUGAUGCCUCCGGGCCGCCGUAGGCGAAGGUUCGUGAAAGUGGCCGGUGGCUUACGCCUGUGCUCUUUCCGGACUUGAAGAGCAGUGGGACUGAGGAGGGCAGAGGGGCGUGGGCUUGGCUGCGGCAGGAGUGGCAGUUCUCUAAGUCCUUUAAGCAUGCAUUGGAUCUGACUCAGGAGUUGGGAUGUGUUGUUGUGGAUCCUACAGUGAGCCUGGGGAUGGUGAAGACACAGCCAAGCAGAACUGCCACGAACCUAGACUAUCAAGAGACAGCUUGCCUUGCUGAAUGUUCUUCUAACUACCUGGGGGAUUCAGAGAACAAGGCCCCCAAGGAAGUUUCCAGAUGGUAAAGAGCUGCAGAAAAUAAUGAAAGAAAAGUGAGAGCUAUGAACAAUAAGAAAUGUUUUGCCACUUCUCCUUCAACUCCACCCUUGGACACUGAUUUGGCUUUGGCCAGCAGAAGGGAAUUAGGAAGUGAAUCUGCGGGUGUAAACAAGUUGACAGUAGAAAGGCCAUUUCUUCUCAACUCCUCUAAAUAAUGUGGGGCAGCGGAGCUCAGGAACAUGACUUUGAAGUGUUUCCAAAUAUCCACUCUGCCUACGUGUUUGUGUGUCUGAUCAGGACAACAUAAGGAGGGGUGUGUGUCUGAGGGAGGGGACAGCUGUGUCUCAUGUCCUGGCGGCCCAGGGUGUGGAGAUUCCAGCACCAUAUCCAGGUUUACCGCCUCCUGCAGGAGAAUUGAGCUCCUCUGCCCAAAUAUGUUGUGACUUUAAGAUUAUUCAAUUAAAAAAAUUUCGAGAUUUAAGAAGAUGCCAGAUGAUCUGGAUAAAAUUAAAAUACUUUACUUGAACCAUGAUUUGGAAAUGCUAACCAGGAGGGCAAAUUGAGGAAAUCAGUCUGUGUUACUCCCCAGCGUCCUCUAGGUGGUGCUGCUGUGACAGUUAUGCGCUGGAAAUUUGUUAGCACUUAACUCUUAAACCAAAUAUUUAACUUAUUAUAUGUCUUAUCCUUCUGGUUAAUUGAUAAUAUGAUACUAUUGAUAAUUUAUACUGUCACAUUUACAUUAGAGUCUCCUAAGGAUGAGCCCAUAAUCAUAAAUUACACAACAGAGCAGUUUCAAAGGUCAGAAUACAUGUACUUCUCUGGUUAGUAUUUAAUAACGUUAAAGAGUUUCAUGUGUAGCACCCAUAAAAACAGACUCUAUCAUUAGUUCUUCCUUGUGUCAGGCAGUGUAUGCCGUAGGUGCCAAAUUAAAUCUUAUCAAAGGAAUUGAUUUCUCUUUCUGCUUUUCUCCUUUACUUAUGAGGUAAUUAACUAGAGUAAGCCUUUUAAACCCUGGUUAGAACUUACUGCUUAUCUUUGCUAAUAAAAAGAUUGGGAGGCCAUUUUUUUUUUUUCCUUAUUUCUGAAAAUGGCCUCGGGUAGAUACCUAAAAUCACUUCUUGAUUUUAAAAGCAAAUUGGCUUUUGAGGUUAGUUCCAUUGAAAUGCAGGAGUGGUAUGAGAAAUGGUGUUUGAUAAUUGCCCAAAUCUUAAUCAAGAUUUUAUUAAAAUCAAUAUUUGAUAUGCCGCUCAAUUUAAUUAAAUUAAACCACAGAGAAAUGAGUAAUAAAUGGGUUUGAAAAUCAAUCCCAGGAUAAGGUAUGUUUCUUUUAAUUAAUGGAACAUAUGAAAUGUUGGA